UUCCUACGGGAGGCAGCAGUGGGGAAUAUUGGACAAUGGGGGCAACCCUGAUCCAGCCAUGCCGCGUGUGUGAAGAAGGCCUUUUGGUUGUAAAGCACUUUAAGCAGGGAGGAGAGGCUAAUGGUUAAUACCCAUUAGAUUAGACGUUACCUGCAGAAUAAGCACCGGCUAACUCUGUGCCAGCAGCCGCGGUAAUACAGAGGGUGCGAGCGUUAAUCGGAAUUACUGGGCGUAAAGCGAGUGUAGGUGGCUCAUUAAGUCACAUGUGAAAUCCACGGGCUUAACCUGGGAACUGCAUGUGAUACUGGUGGUGCUAGAAUAUGUGAGAGGGAAGUAGAAUUCCAGGUGUAGCGGUGAAAUGCGUAGAGAUCUGGAGGAAUACCGAUGGCGAAGGCAGCUUCCUGGCAUAAUAUUGACACUGAGAUUCGAAAGCGUGGGUAGCAAACAGGAUUAGAUACCCUGGUAGUCCACGCCGUAAACGAUGUCUACUAGCCGUUGGGGUCCUUGAGACUUUAGUGGCGCAGUUAACGCGAUAAGUAGACCGCCUGGGGAGUACGGCCGCAAGGUUAAAACUCAAA
rnacentral:rRNA from 1 species